GGAGGAUGGAUUCAGUGAGACAAAUGGAAAAGCACGCACUGCAAGGACUUCCACUUGGAAAACAAGCUGUCACAAGUCAGUUUUGAUGAAGUGGUUUGUGCUGCUGCCUUCUCUUACUCUGAAAACUCAAGCUAUCAUCUGACCUAUUUCUCCUCAAAGGCAAACCUUCCAUCUGCCAACCUGGCCUCUAUGCUUUUGCAGCAGUUACAGGAAUAACAGAUGUAUGGACACUGGAGUCAUUGCAUUUGAACCAUAUAUGCUGCUUGAUGCUUGAGAGUUGAGUAGCAGCUCAAGGACCUCGCAUCUGAGUGAACUGUAAUGAUAUCUGCCAGGGUCCUGGCUUAUCUCAGCAGCAGCAAGGCACACUUUGCUCUCCAACUGGGUAGAAAACGGAACUUCUUACAAGUAACCUCUGCAAAUAUCCAUCAUGCCCCCCUUCAGCCUGCAACGAUCGACACCAAGUUUUACUUGCACCGAUCCGUCCGGAAUGUGGGGCAGGCGCUGCUGGUUUGCGUUGGCAGACCUCGAGGAGGGCUGGCAGGACUCGGGGGUGACAAGUGCGAACCCAAGCGCCAGUUUUUGCUCGGCACAAUCUAACAGCGCGGCA